UACGGAGGGUGCAAGCGUUGCUCGGAAUCAUUGGGCGUAAAGCGCGUGUAGGCGGUUAUCUAAGUCUGGUGUGAAAUCCCGGGGCUUAACCCCGGAACUGCACUGGAUACUGGAUGACUAGAGGAUGGGAGAGGAUGGUGGAAUUCCUGGUGUAGGGGUGAAAUCCGUAGAUAUCAGGAGGAACAUCGGUGGCGAAGGCGGCCAUCUGGCCCAUACCUGACGCUGAGACGCGAAAGCGUGGGGAGCAAACAGG
rnacentral:rRNA from 1 species